rnacentral:rRNA from 1 species
UACGUAGGGUGCGAGCGUUAAUCGGAAUUACUGGGCGUAAAGCGCGUGUAGGCGGCUAAGUAAGUCGGGCGUGAAAUCCCACGGCUCAACCGUAGAAGUGCACUCGAAACUGCGUAGCUAGAGUCCUGGAGAGGAAGGUGGAAUGCUUGGUGUAGAGGUGAAAUUCGUAGAUAUCAAGCGGAACACCGGUGGCGAAGGCGGCCUUCUGGACAGUGACUGACGCUGAGACGCGAAAGCGUGGGGAGCAAACAGG